rnacentral:rRNA from 1 species
GACGAACGCUGGCGGCGUGCCUAAUACAUGCAAGUCGAGCGGAGUUAACGUAGUCUCUCGGGAAAACGUUAACUUAGCGGCGGACGGGUGAGUAACACGUAGGCAACCUGCCCGUAAGACCGGGACAACUACCGGAAACGGUAGCUAAGACCGGAUAGGUAAGAAGAACGCAUGUUCUUCUUAAGAAAGACGGAGCAAUCUGUCACUUACGGAUGGGCCUGCGGCGCAUUAGCUAGUAGGUGAGGUAACGGCUCACCUAGGCGACGAUGCGUAGCCGACCUGAGAGGGUGAUCGGCCACACUGGGACUGAGACACGGCCCAGACUCCUACGGGAGGCAGCAGUAGGGAAUCUUCGGCAAUGGACGGAAGUCUGACCGAGCAACGCCGCGUGAGUGAAGAAGGCCUUCGGGUCGUAAAACUCUGUUGCCAGAGAAGAACGCUUAGGAGAGUAACUGCUCUUAAGGUGACGGUAUCUGAGAAGAAAGCCCCGGCUAACUACGUGCCAGCAGCCGCGGUAA